rnacentral:lncRNA from 1 species
CCUUUUUGGAUAAAGAUCAAAUCAGAUUUAAUCUAAUUUUGAUUGGAUCAAAGUUGGAGUCCUACUUUGAUUAGAUUUGAUCCUAUCAAACCUAGUCUUAAUCAAACUAUGGAUGCUGUUGGGUAUAAAAUAACCCCAGUCGAAGUUCGUAAGAGGCCAACCCUCCCAGAGCUCUUUUGGCUUCCGACCUUGUGCGGCGUCUUUCUGAACUUUUCCGACCGUCCAAGCUUCCAUAGUACUAUCCAGACUCCUCCAGCAGUCGACCUUCCACAGUGUCCUCC